CUUAGCUCCUGGAUGUCCCGACCAAAUCAAUCCCUAUAUAACCCGAGGCACCCUGAUGGCAUGCCUAGUGGCACGGCUCAUCUUACCACGAUUGCCAGCUCUACCCCCGCAAACACCGGUGGCUCCUACACUUGAUGUGGUGGCGCAAGGGGUGCCGCAUAGUGCCCAUGAUAUACCCGACAUAAGACCCUUUCCUUACCU